rnacentral:lncRNA from 1 species
AGAAAAUCAAGACAGAAAGCACUAUCUCUAUUCUUUAUUCCCAAAUAUGAAUUUCUCUCUCAAAUCUCAAUUCUCCUAAAUUUAAAGCCAAGAUCUGCCAAAUCCGAACUCAAAUCUACUGGCAUGUGAAUCAUACAACCGUUGAUCGCAAUCCAUAAUGUUCAAAAUAUAGAGAUGGCAUCCAGAUCAUUGUUCAGAUUCAAACUUUGUGGAAGAAGCCAAGAAGAGCACCAAAAGCAUCCGUUUGUUUUAACCCUGAAAUUGUCUUUGAACUCCAAAGCUUUGCAGAUUAGUUUGGCGCACAUUGCUUGAGGUAAGCACUUUGGGAAAUCAUUCAAUAAAUCUUAGUAACUUCAAUUUAAUUUAUGUGUGUACGUGGUAAAUAAAAUCGAACUAGUAUAUAGAUUUACCAAGAUGGUAGUGGUUGAAGGUUAUCAUUAGAAUUAAUUUUAAGAAUUACAUUCUUAAUAUUCUUAUUGGGCUUAUGUUGAUUAUGUUCUAUGAAUGAUCAUGAUGGAUGGGUCGAAGAAUUUAGAGGAGGUACUUACUUACAAUAUGACAAUAUGAUUAAUACGAAAAUAUGAGAAAUUAAUCCUAAUUAAUUUUGGAGAAAAAUGAAAGAAAAAUUGAGAAACUGAAGCAAAAUUGUGGAAAGAAUAAAUACUAGUAUCAGUUAAUAUAAAAUUGAAUAAGCGAUCUAGAGCUUAGCAAAUUCAAGCAAAGAAAACUAAAUUGCUUCAUAACAUGAAACCUUCGACUCUCCAAAGUUGGAAGCCAAGGAUUAAACUUACCUUGCACUGGUGACAAUGGACAAACCAAGACAGAGGCAGCUAUGGCAGAGAUGCAGCAGUUGGACUAAAGCAGAAAAUCGGCUCAAGAAUAGCUACAAUCUGCAGAUGUAUCGUCGCGCACCCAAACGGAAGUAAAAGAAGCUUUAUAUUUUGCAAUUCAA